AUGCAGAGCUCGAUGGCCCCGUCCCGUAUCAUGGCGCUGCUAGCAAUGCUCUUGGUCUCUCGCUUGUUCUUCUGCUCCCAAGCUUCCUCCGAUGGCUUCCUCGCGUGCCUCACGGCGUCCGUGCCCGAGCAGCUCCUCUUCACCCGGAGCUCGCCGUCGUUCGCGUCGGUCCUGGCGUCCUCCGUUCGGAACCGCAGGUUCCUCACGCAGGCGACGGUGCGGCCGAUCUGCAUUGUUACGGCGAUGAACGCCUCGCACGUCCAGGCCGCCGUCGUGUGCGGCCGCCGGCACGGCGUCCGCCUCCGUGUGCGCAGCGGCGGGCACGACUACGAGGGCCUCUCGUUCAGGUCUACGCGCCUCGAGACAUUCGCCGUGAUUGACCUCGCCGGCCUCCGCUCCGUGCGCGUCAGCCUUGGCAGCCCGCGGGAGGAAGCGCCAUCCACCGCGUGGGUGGACUCCGGCGCGACGCUCGGGGAGCUGUAUCAUGCUAUCGGGAAGGCGAGUGACCGGCUGGCGUUCCCAGCGGGCCUGUGCCCGACGGUGGGCGUCGGCGGACAUCUCAGCGGCGGCGGCUUCGGCAUGCUGCUGCGCAAGCAUGGCCUGGCCGCCGACCACGUCGUGGACGCCACGCUUGUUGACGCCGAGGGGAGGGUCCUGGACAGGGACGCCAUGGGCCAGGACGUCUUUUGGGCCAUCCGCGGCGGCGGCGGCGGCGGGAGCUUCGGGAUCGUGCUGUCGUGGCAGGUGAAGCUCGUGGCCGUGCCGCCGGCGGUCACCGCGUUCACGAUCCCCAAGUCCGUCGAGCAGGGCGCCGUGGACAUCCUCACCAAGUGGCAGGAGGUCGCGCCGGCUCUCCCUGACGACUUGUUCGUGAGGGUGCUCGUCCAACGACAGGUGGCCAAAUUCCAGGCCCUAUACCUAGGCACCUGCGACGCGCUCCUGCCGGUGAUGCGCCACCGCUUCCCAGAGCUCGGCGUGAAUCAUAAGCACUGCAAGGAAAUGACCUGGCUCCAGUCCGUGCCCUACGUCUACCUGGGCGGCGACGCCACCGUGGAGGACAUCUUGAACCGGACCGACCCCGUGGACACCACCUCCAGCAAGGCCACGUCCGACUACGUCCGACAUGCGAUCGCCAGCGACGUGUGGGAGGAAAUCUUCGCGACCUGGCUCGCGAGGCCGGACGCGGGGCUGAUGAUCCUGGACCCCUACGGCGGGAGCAUCGCCGGCGUGCCGGAGUCCGCGACACCAUUCUCACACCGCGCCGGCGUGCUGUAUAACGUGCAGUACAUGAACUUCUGGGGCGGCGGCGGCGGCGACGGCGCGGCGCAGAAGAGGUGGAUCAGGGACAUGUACGCGUUCAUGGAGCCGCACGUGAGCAAGAACCCGAGGGAGGCGUACGUGAACUACAGGGACCUUGACCUCGGGACGAACGUGGUCGUCGGCAACGUCACCAGCUACGAGGCCGGCAAGGUCUGGGGCGAGAAGUACUACAAGGAUAACUUCAGGAGGCUCGCCAUGGCCAAGCGUCAGAUAGACCCCGACGACUACUUCAGGAAUGAGCAGAGCAUCCCGCCGCUUGAUGCUGACGAGCAACCACUGAUCAUGAGGGACGUGGCGCCUAAGGGUUACGCUAAUCCUAUUUCGUCGAAUCGUUUUGACAUAUUUGGUUGUGUGGGUAUCUGUCUUGUGUAUGUUCGGCGAAAAUACCGUUUAAAAUCAUGA
rnacentral:rRNA from 1 species